rnacentral:lncRNA from 1 species
CUACAAAGUUCUGCAUCUUUAAAAGAGACAGUAUAGGUAAUUCCACCAUGAUGCAUAAAAUGAUCUUUUAGAGACACCAUGAAAGCCCUUGUUCAAGUUUUCUUUGCCCAAGAUGUCUCCCUGUACUCUCAAUACCCCCACCCACACCAUCUGUCUUCCAAGACUUAGUUCAAAGGCCACCUAUUUCAUGGAAGCCUUUGUUUUUUAAUUCAAUUUUUCCUCUUUCCAUCCUCCACCCAAGUCCCAAAUAUGGUCUCUUUUCUGAAUCACCAGUGUUGAAAACUUCCUUUUUCAUGUGUGUUCUUGUCUUAAUUUCCUCAUUUGACAAUAACACUAAUAUGUACAACCUACGCCUUACUCAUCCUUGCAUCUCCCACAGAAACCAGCACAAGGUCUUCUACUUAAGAGAUGAUCAAUAAAUAUUUGUUAAACGAAUUAAAUGAAAGCAACAGUUAGCCUGUUAAAAGGGAUGGUCAUUAUUUUAAAGGCCCUGAGGAAUGGCUUAUAUGUCUAGCACCUAAUCAAAAGCUGGUGGACCACAGAAGGAAGACCAGGGAGUGGAGGGGGCAGCCUUGCGCCUCUGCAUAUCUGCUGCCCCUGUAAACUCACGGAAUGCCCAACUCUUCAAGACUCUACAGAACAAAGCUACAGUGUCGGGUGCUGAAUGAACACCUUCACCUUUUUCUAAGUUCUCCAGUCUUGCUUCAAACCAGAAACUGGAAGUGGAAUUAGAGGUGGAAAUUAGGGCCAUCCUUUUCAACUUUAAGGUAUGGCUGAAAAAGUUGAAACAGCCAUCUGGAUAAUUCAGGCUCAAAAAACCCAUCCUGAAGAGUUCUUUGUCAUGCGUCUUCAAGAUGUGCCCUGGCCAUUCAUGCAAGUUUCAAGGACUCUGAAUCUGUUGAGAAAAAGAGGUUACGUUCCAAUUCUGCUUUAGUUCCAACCCAAAUGCUGAGAAACACUCCAUGGAAUUUAAUUACAGGGCGAUAACUGUGAUCUUACCAAGAUUUAUGAACAGGAAGAUCCUUGGUGAUUGUAGUCAGUCAAAGGGUGGCUUUGACAUAGCACCUAUCUGUUAGGGCAAAUACUGCCAGGGAAAAGGUGACAUUUGGAAUCAUCUGGGAUUGGACUCUUGAUCAAUAGAUGCGAAAUGUCAGGUGGACAUGAGAACUGUUGGUCUUUGGUACAUAUGUGUUGCAAUGAGUAAGGAUGAGUAAUGUGAAGGAAAAGUAGAAUCUUGGGACCCCAAACUCACUAUGCCAAAGGGAAAGUUAAGCGUGGGAGACUGAGUCAGGCAAAAACUGCCUUCCUUUUGUUCCCAAAUAGAUGGCUGUAAUUUCACAUGCUUGCGUUAUGUGAAAUGUGGAUUCAUUGAGUGCUAAUCAGAGCCCCACAAGAAUGAAAGCACUUGCCUUGCUGCCUACCCUCCCUCCUCUUUUUUCUUCCCCUCCUGCUUGCUCUUUUCCCUUUAAAUAAUGAAGUUCCCAAAACCCUCUUUGGAAAAAGCAUAGGUCACAAAUCCUAUUAUAACUUGCAUUUCUUUUUCCUGGGUACAUUCUCAACCUGGGCAAAAUAAACCUCUAAUCAACGAA